UUAAAUUGAAGAGUUUGAUCAUGGCUCAGAUUGAACGCUGGCGGCAGGCCUAACACAUGCAAGUCGAACGGUAACAGGAAGCAGCUUGCUGCUUUGCUGACGAGUGGCGGACGGGUGAGUAAUGUCUGGGAAACUGCCUGAUGGAGGGGGAUAACUACUGGAAACGGUAGCUAAUACCGCAUAACGUCGCAAGACCAAAGAGGGGGACCUUAGGGCCUCUUGCCAUCGGAUGUGCCCAGAUGGGAUUAGCUAGUAGGUGGGGUAACGGCUCACCUAGGCGACGAUCCCUAGCUGGUCUGAGAGGAUGACCAGCCACACUGGAACUGAGACACGGUCCAGACUCCUACGGGAGGCAGCAGUGGGGAAUAUUGCACAAUGGGCGCAAGCCUGAUGCAGCCAUGCCGCGUGUAUGAAGAAGGCCUUCGGGUUGUAAAGUACUUUCAGCGGGGAGGAAGGGAGUAAAGUUAAUACCUUUGCUCAUUGACGUUACCCGCAGAAGAAGCACCGGCUAACUCCGUGCCAGCAGCCGCGGUAAUACGGAGGGUGCAAGCGUUAAUCGGAAUUACUGGGCGUAAAGCGCACGCAGGCGGUUUGUUAAGUCAGAUGUGAAAUCCCCGGGCUCAACCUGGGAACUGCAUCUGAUACUGGCAAGCUUGAGUCUCGUAGAGGGGGGUAGAAUUCCAGGUGUAGCGGUGAAAUGCGUAGAGAUCUGGAGGAAUACCGGUGGCGAAGGCGGCCCCCUGGACGAAGACUGACGCUCAGGUGCGAAAGCGUGGGGAGCAAACAGGAUUAGAUACCCUGGUAGUCCACGCCGUAAACGAUGUCGACUUGGAGGUUGUGCCCUUGAGGCGUGGCUUCCGGAGCUAACGCGUUAAGUCGACCGCCUGGGGAGUACGGCCGCAAGGUUAAAACUCAAAUGAAUUGACGGGGGCCCGCACAAGCGGUGGAGCAUGUGGUUUAAUUCGAUGCAACGCGAAGAACCUUACCUGGUCUUGACAUCCACGGAAGUUUUCAGAGAUGAGAAUGUGCCUUCGGGAACCGUGAGACAGGUGCUGCAUGGCUGUCGUCAGCUCGUGUUGUGAAAUGUUGGGUUAAGUCCCGCAACGAGCGCAACCCUUAUCCUUUGUUGCCAGCGGUCCGGCCGGGAACUCAAAGGAGACUGCCAGUGAUAAACUGGAGGAAGGUGGGGAUGACGUCAAGUCAUCAUGGCCCUUACGACCAGGGCUACACACGUGCUACAAUGGCGCAUACAAAGAGAAGCGACCUCGCGAGAGCAAGCGGACCUCAUAAAGUGCGUCGUAGUCCGGAUUGGAGUCUGCAACUCGACUCCAUGAAGUCGGAAUCGCUAGUAAUCGUGGAUCAGAAUGCCACGGUGAAUACGUUCCCGGGCCUUGUACACACCGCCCGUCACACCAUGGGAGUGGGUUGCAAAAGAAGUAGGUAGCUUAACCUUCGGGAGGGCGCUUACCACUUUGUGAUUCAUGACUGGGGUGAAGUCGUAACAAGGUAACCGUAGGGGAACCUGCGGUUGGAUCACCUCCUUA
rnacentral:rRNA from 1 species